GACGAACGCUGGCGGCGUGCUUAACACAUGCAAGUCGAACGAUGAAGCCUAGCUUGCUAGGUGGAUUAUUGGCGAACGGGUGAGUAAUACGUGAGUGACCUACCUUUGACUCUGGGAUAAGCCUGGGAAACUGGGUCUAAUACCGGAUACGACCAAUCUCCGCAUGGGGUGUUGGUGGAAAGCGUUAUGGAGUGGUUUUAGAUGGGCUCACGGCCUAUCAGCUUGUUGGUGAGGUAAUGGCUUACCAAGGCGACGACGGGUAGCCGGCCUGAGAGGGUGACCGGCCACACUGGGACUGAGACACGGCCCAGACUCCUACGGGAGGCAGCAGUGGGGAAUAUUGCACAAUGGGCGCAAGCCUGAUGCAGCGACGCCGCGUGAGGGAUGACGGCCUUCGGGUUGUAAACCUCUGUUAGCAUCGAAGAAGCGAAAGUGACGGUAGGUGCAGAGAAAGCGCCGGCUAACUACGUGCCAGCAGCCGCGGUAAUACGUAGGGCGCGAGCGUUGUCCGGAAUUAUUGGGCGUAAAGAGCUUGUAAGCGGUUGGUCGCGUCUGCUGUGAAGGCUGGGGCUUACCCCUGGUUUUGCAGUGGGUACGGGCUAACUAGAGUGCAGUAGGGGAGACUGGAAUUCCUGGUGUAGCGGUGGAAUGCGCAGAUAUCAGGAGGAACACCGAUGGCGAAGGCAGGUCUCUGGGCUGUAACUGACGCUGAGAAGCGAAAGCAUGGGGAGCGAACAGGAUUAGAUACCCUGGUAGUCCAUGCCGUAAACGUUGGGCACUAGGUGUGGGGGACAUUCCACGUUUUCCGCGCCGUAGCUAACGCAUUAAGUGCCCCGCCUGGGGAGUACGGCCGCAAGGCUAAAACUCAAAGAAAUUGACGGGGGCCCGCACAAGCGGCGGAGCAUGCGGAUUAAUUCGAUGCAACGCGAAGAACCUUACCAAGGCUUGACAUAUACUGGACUGCGUCAGAGAUGGCGUUUCCCUUCGGGGCUGGUAUACAGGUGGUGCAUGGUUGUCGUCAGCUCGUGUCGUGAGAUGUUGGGUUAAGUCCCGCAACGAGCGCAACCCUCGUUCUAUGUUGCCAGCACGUGAUGGUGGGGACUCAUAGGAGACUGCCGGGGUCAACUCGGAGGAAGGUGGGGAUGACGUCAAAUCAUCAUGCCCCUUAUGUCUUGGGCUUCACGCAUGCUACAAUGGCCGGUACAGAGGGUUGCGAUACUGUGAGGUGGAGCUAAUCCCUAAAAGCCGGUCUCAGUUCGGAUUGGGGUCUGCAACUCGACCCCAUGAAGUCGGAGUCGCUAGUAAUCGCAGAUCAGCAACGCUGCGGUGAAAACGUUCCCGGGCCU
rnacentral:rRNA from 1 species